rnacentral:lncRNA from 1 species
UUAUUGCUCUGUUGUACAGAGAGCAGUGAGUUUAUAUUAGCUAAAUGUUAGAUUGGAAUGCAGGAGUAGCAUGACAACACCAAGGUAGAGACCUGAAGAGAAGCAAGGGGAUGGACCAAGGAAACUAGAACUGUGUUGUCGUGAUGUGGGUCGUGUCGUCUUCGUCCAUCUCCAUGGAGGCAUAUAUACAUAGGUUAGGUAUAGGAAAGGAGACCGUCUCCAUGGAACUCUGACUGAUGUGUAAUGUCCACAUAGGACUGGACCGUUUACAGAGUGAGUACUUGAAAAUAGAUUCUUUAUAUAUUGUUUGGUUCCAUCAGCCGCAUAACCUAAAUUAGCAAUUAGGUAUCUAAACAGUGUAGUGUAACCAUUGUGCUUGCUGCAGUUUUACUUUAGUGUUGAAAUGUUUUUGUUGGCUUGUUCUGUACUACGAAAUAUUUUUGUUUUCCCAGCCAUUGUUUUCUAAAUCCUAUCAGCAUAUUACCUGAUAUGGCCUUUGAAGUUUCUGUUUUAUAACGAGCUUUGCGCCGGUCAACUUGUGUAUGGUAUGGUUUAUUCUUUUCUGUUGCGCCUAUUCGAGAGAAAUUUAGAGCUCCACAACCUUCUCAAGACUUAGCAGAGAUGAAACAAUCAAUCAGUUGAGAUGCAUCACAUGAUCUUUUUCUCUUGACAUUUAUGGGUAUCGAACCCAUAGAUCAGCUUAUCAAUGGAACCCUUAUCGGGUUGAGAAGGUGUCACAAAAACUAAAGAGCAGUUUUAACAUGGUCCCUGAUUAACUCUUACCUUCUUACCUAUUAUGUGAAGGGGGUAAGAGGGACCUUGUUAAAAUUAGCGAAAACUCAAAAACAGGGCGAUUAGCUAAGGAAAGAAGCUAAGAAGCAUCAGGAAGGACUUUUAGGAUGGUACCGCGGUCAAAUGCAUCCUAGGAUAGGUACUUUAAGAAUCAUGGUGUGUUCUUCUCCUUUUUUGUUUACCUUAGCCACAUAGGUUAGCCUCAAUUUAUUAUUAUUCUUCUGUUUAGAGUAGAUGCUUCCAUCAGAACUGAUAUCCACAGGGUCAGUUCGAGAACCCCUCAUGCUCAACCAUCGCACUGACCUACGACACCAUCGAUUCUCAAUCAAAACAAUGUCAGCUUAUAAAUAACCAUUGGAAUAACUGCAAUAAUUUACUUCCAUAUGAGUGCAUCCCUAAAUAGAAAGGAUCGCAUCACAAGAUCUAUAAUGCCUAGAAAACGAGACAAAAGGGGUGAGAAUCGCCACAAAAAAGAGGGGAUAUGCAAGAUCGAGAUAAAUGGAAAGUANNNNNNNNNNNNNNNNNNNNNNNNNNNNNNNNNNNNNNNNNNNNNNNNNNNNNNNNNNNNNNNNNNNNNNNNNNNNNNNNNNNNNNNNNNNNNNNNNNNNNNNNNNNNNNNNNNNNNNNNNNNNNNNNNNNNNNNNNNNNNNNNNNNNNNNNNNNNNNNNNNNNNNNNNNNNNNNNNNNNNNNNNNNNNNNNNNNNNNNNNNNNNNNNNNNNNNNNNNNNNNNNNNNNNNNNNNNNNNNNNNNNNNNNNNNNNNNNNNNNNNNNNNNAUCCAUGCAUGCAGACAAAUCCGAAAUCAAAAGAGGUAAGAAAUCGCACCGGUCGGCGGCUGAGGAAACAAAAGGAAGGGGAUAGACAGUCUACGCUGGAUUCGCCCCUGCCGCUUCAUGUUCAGCUCCUCACGGGCCACAGGCAUCGCUCUACAUGGGCUGGGCUAAAUAACAUAUGGGCUAUCCUAAUACCUCCUGAUCCCUAUAUCUCGUAUAUGCACAACAAAGACAUAUUUUUUUCUUAGGUUUCUUAUCUUUUCCCCUCUUUUUUUGCAGGAAAAAGAUGCACGACCAGGUUUCUCAUCAUGAUAACCAUGUUUUCAAACUUGCUAAAAAAUUACAACCAUGCCAACUUUACUCUCUCAUCAUAGUGGCCAUAUUUUCAAACUGAACAUAUUCAUAUUAUGCAAAGUUUCCCUUUUCCCAAACUAUUAUUUAACAACAUAAUAAACAUGUUUAAAAAAUAGCAUGAUUUAGUUGAAGGUUCUUGCAGCAUGAAACUAUUUUCAUCAACAGCAUGUCUUCAGCAGGUCUCUGCGCCAUUUGGCGCAACGGGUCAACUAGUACUAUUAAAAGGGGAUGAGGUGUUGCUUAAUGGUCUCUUGCUCAAAGUGCUUAGUGAUAUUCACUACUAGGGAAAACCCUAGUAGUAGCGCUUGAAAUAUACAUAACAGUAGCGCUGGGAAACGUUGCUCCAAAAACCCUCAACCACUUUCUCACUUCCACAUUUGUCCAAAACUUGUUGGGAAAUGUUGCAUGGAAAACAAAAGAAUUUCUAUGCACACGCAAUGAUCUAUCCAUGGAGAUGCAUAGCAACGAGGGGGAGAGUGUGUCUACGUAACCUCGUAGACCAAAAGCGGAAGCGUUUGACAACGCGGUUAAUGUAGUCGAACUUCUUCUAGCUCCGACCGAUCAAGCACUGAACGUAUGGCACCUCCGAGUUCUGCACAUGUUCAGCUCGGUGACGUCCCUCGCCUUCUUGAUCCAACAAGGUGUCGAGGUAGUAGAUGAGUUCCGUCAGCACGACGGCAUGGUGACGGUGAUGGUGAAGUGAUCCUCGCCGGGCUUCGCCUAAGCACCGCGGAAAUAUGACCGGGGUGUAAACUGUGGAGGGGGGCGCCACACACGGCUAACAAUUGAUGUUGUGUCUUCUAGGCGCCGUUGUGUCUUCUAGGCGCCCCACUCCCCCCCCACAUAUAUAUAUAUAUAGGUGGGAGGGGAGGAGAGGCGGCCAGGGGGCGCCCCAAGUAGGAUCCAAAUCCUACUUGGGGUUUCCCCAAGUGGCGCCCCCCUUUCCUUUUUCCAUCGGAGAAGAAAGGAAGGGGGAAGAAGAGAAGGAAGGGGUGUUGAACCCCCUCGUCCCUUCUCCUAUUCGUCCACCUGCCAUAGGGGGGGGGGCUCCACCCCUUAUGGGCUGGUGUGCUCCCCUCUCAUGGCCCAUAUAUUCCCCCGGGGGUUCCGGUAACCCCUCUAGUACUCCGAUAAAUACCCGAUACACUCCGGAACACUUCCAGUGUCCAAAUACAAUCGUCCUAUAUAUGAAUCUUUACCUCUUGACCAUUUAGAGACUCCUCGUCAUGUCCGUGAUCUCAUUCGGGACUCUGAACAACAUUCGGUCACCAAAUCACAUAACUCAUAUAAUACAAUAUCGUCAUCGAAUGUUAAGCGUGUGGGCCCUAUCGGUUCGAGAACUAUGUAGACAUGAUUGAGACACCUCUCUGGUCAAUAACCAAUAGCGGAACCUGGAUGCCCAUAUUGGCUCCUACAUAUUCUACGAAGAUCUUUAUCGGUCGAACCGUUAUGACAACAUACAUAAUUCCCUUUGUCCAUCGGUAUGUUACUUGCCCAAGAUUCGAUCGUCGGUAUCUUCAUACCUAGUUCAAUCUCGUUACCGGCAAGUCUCUUUACUCGUUCCAUAAUACAUCACCUCAUGACCAACUCCUUAGUCAUUUGCUUGCAAGCUUAUGAUGUGUAUUACUGAGAGGGCCCAGAGAUACCUCUCCGAUACUCGGAGUGACAAAUCCUAAUCUCGAUCUAUGCCAACUCAACAAACACCUUAGGAGAUACCUCUAGAGCAUCUUUAUAAUCACCCAGUUACGUUGUGACGUUUGAUAGCAUACAAGGUAUUCCUCCCGUAUCCGGGAGUUGCAUAAUCUCAUAGUCGAAGGAAUAUGUAUUUGACAUGAAGAAAGCAAUAACAAUAAAACUAAACGAUCAUAUUGCUAAGCUAAUGGAUGGGUCUUGUCCUUCACAUCAUUCUCCUAACGAUGUGACCCCGUUAUCAAAUGACAACUCAUGCACUACAAAAAAAGACACAUCCGUGACAUUUUGGGCCCAACGAAUUUUUUUCCUGUCAUACUUAUGACACUUCUCUGACGAUAAUUGUGAGAAAACCCGGUAUCAUCAUAGAUGUGGUGGGCUCCUACUUUUAUGAUAAAAAUACGACGGAAAAUGGGCUUUUCGUCCUGGGCGGGCCGGAGACGCAGAUGCAUGACAUUCUUUGGGCCGUCCAUGACGGAAAAAACCGUGGUAGAAGCGAGUGCGAGGAAAAUAUCGGGGAGUUCCCGGUACGGUGGGUGGUCGGGGGACGAGCGAGUCACGUUUCUCUCGUACACGUACGCGCGUGAGUGCGAGGGAUUGCACUGCAGGAUUGGGCUCUAACUGAACCCGAGCUAGGCGUUCGCCUACUGAACCCGAGCGAUUGCACUGCAGGCUACGCGUUACUGAGCCCGAGCGAUCGAUAGAUGGUUGUUAACUGAACCCUAUCGUGCGAUUCCUUCGUUUGCUACUGCUGCUAACUGAAGCCGAUCGAACACUGCUGCCUCCUUCCCUUGAUGAACAGUGAGUGUUGUUGGGGGCUUUGGAUGAACAGUUCCCGGUGGGGGGCUGGAUGAACAGGACCCCGUGUUGCCGCUGGAUGAACAGGACCCCGAUCGAUCGAGCCGGUUGGGCGUGGAUGAAUAGGACCCCAUGGAGGGCUGGAUGAACAGGACCCCGUGGAGGGAAGGUUGAACAAUAGCCGGUGGAGGGUUGGUUGAACAGUAGCCGGUGGAGGGCUGGUUGAAUAGUAGCCCGUGGAGGGGUGGUUGAACAGGACCCCAUGGAGAGGGCUGGUUGAACAGUAACCGGUGGAGGAGCGCGCAGUGGAGGCUGGAUGAACAGGAGCCCGUGGAUGAACAGUCGUAGGUGGAGGCUGGAGGAGGUCGACGGUGGAUGAACAGUAGCCCGUGGAGGCUGGAGCUCCAACACAAGUCUGUUUCCUCCGUUUUGCGGUACGCCACACCCCUCCUGAUCAAUAGGACCCCGUUUCCAUUGUAGGAGGUCCGUUUCCUCUGUGUUGCGGUACGCCAGACCCCUCCCGAUGAACAGGAUCCUGUUUCCAUCGUGGCCGGUCGAACACAAGAUCGUUUCCUCCGUUCUGUGGUACGCCAGGCCUCGUUUCCAUCGGCUGUUCCGUCCAAGCCGGUUGGCUCCCGAUGAACACGACGACGCAUUCCGUUUCGCCCCAGCCGGACGACGACGCAGUUUCUCCGUUCCGACCCAGCCAUGUACACGAGCCCUGGCCGUACGUAUGCGCGAGUAGGCAUUCGAGACCCCGCUCGUAUGUACGUACGUGGCCGUAUUUACUUUCUUGCACCGCUGUACGUACGUGUACACGCUACAUGCGCGCAUCUACUACCACACGUGCGCGCCUCUACAUCGACCAGUAUGUAUGUACACGUUCGCGACCAGAAUGACAACGCUACGUACGCUUCGACCGGAUGGGUCCCGCUGUCCGGCACUUCCUUGCAUGCGAAGAUGUAGCUGGUGGGUCCCAGCAGUCAGGGGGGCGAAUCAUUUUUUUUGCCCGUAAUAUGGAUGCACUUCCUUGCGUGCGAAGAUGUAGCUGGUGGGUCCCAGCAGUCAGGGGGGAAACGUUUUUUUCAUAAAAUAUGGUGGCUCGUCCGGUGGGUCCCCGCUGUCAGGUGGAGGAAUCAUUAUUUUCCACGUAAUAAGGAGGCACUUCCUUGCUGCGGCCGUGGACCCAGCUGUCAGCCUCUCCACGUACAGUACUCUUUCGAUGGAAGUCGUUCCUUGACCACGUGGACCACGCCGCGUCGAGAGCACCAGGGCGGUGGACGACGGUGAGGCCUAGGAAGGGGACGACACAGAGCCGGGGAAGACGCGACAGUGGAUGCCCACAUGGAGAGGAGUACGAGGGUUCACUGGUUCGGCUUCAGUGUGAGGCUGCCGUCGCCGCAGAAUAACAGGGGUUCUGGGUGAGUGGAGGGAUGGCCUGGCCAGCGGUGGGAGUAGUAGGGGGCGGUGAGGCCUCCACGGCGGCACAGCCGGCCACGGGAGGCAGGAGCAGGCGGCACGACCGGCGCAACUUUGGGCGGCUGGAGCGAGAAGACCAGAGGUUGAAGAAGCACUAUGGCUGUUGGAUGGACAUCGCAUACGGUCACUGGAGCUAAAAUCGUUCAUAUUGACUAAGUUGACAAAGCCCUCCGUCCCCGUCAUCUUAGUAGGCCCACAAGUCAGCCUCCCACAAAUGGUGGGUCCCAGCUAGCAGGGGGAGUAUUCAUUUUUUUGUGCGUAAUAAGGAGGCACUUCCUUGUGUGCGAAGAUAUAGCUGGUGGGUCCGAGCUAACAGCGGGGGGAACGUUUUUUUCAAGAAAUACAGAGGCCCUUCUGGUGGGUCCCAGCUGUCAGGUGGAGGAAUCAUUAUUUUGCGCGUAAUAAGGAGGCAUUUCCUUGUGUGGACCCCUACUGUCAGCCUCUUCCAAUGGCUGUUGUUUGUUGACCAUGUUGACCUCGCCGCGCCGAGAGCACAAACGCGGUGGACGAGGGUGAGGCCCAGGACGAGAACGAUCCGGAGCCGUUGAAGCCACCGCAGCGGAUGCCCACGCUGAGGGGUGUACGAGCGCUGACUGGUCGGCUGCGGGGUGAGGCUGACAUCGCCGGAAAAUAACAGGAUGUGCGGGUGUGUAGAGGGAUGGCCUGGCGGCAGCACAGCCAGCCACGGGGGGAGGGAGCAGGCAGUCGCGCCGGCGCUGCUUUGGGCGGCUGGAGCAGGAAGAUCAGAGAUUGAAGAAGCAUGACGGCCGUUGGAUGGACAUCCAACAGUCACUGCUCUGUGUUGACUAAGUUGACAAAGCCUUGCGUACGCGUCAAAAAAAAAUUAGGACAUCGUCAACCUAGUAGGCCCAGAAGUCGGCCUCCAAAUCUGUGGAAAACAACUUACAGCCCAUUAGCCAUUAUUUUCAAUAAUUUACAAUCCAUUUGCUAAUUCUUAAGGAUAUUUGAAGCCCAUAUUCUUUUUAUUAGCAUUAUAAACCAUAUAUUCCGGGCACUGCUAAAAACUUCAACGAAAUUUUUCAUAUUUCGGUGGGGUCCGAACUCUUUUAAUCAUGAAAUUUUGAGUCACGCUAAAAUAAUUUUUCAAAAAUUAUAUCAAGAUAAAAUUCAAAAAACAAUUCUCCGCAAAAAAGAAUGAAAUUUAAAAUCUUAACUAGCAAGAUGCCCGUGCGUUGCACGGAACAUGAAGAUGCAUUUGUAUGAGUAGUUUAUCUUGUGGGAGAAAAGACGAUCUUUUAAUGUAAUUGCCAGUUGGCUUUGGUUUUUAUAAGAGUAGCGAGUAGAGAAAUGCAGAAAAAUUAAUAUUUUAAUGUAAUUGCCGGUUGGCUUUGGUUUAAAAAUUUACAACCCAUUUCUUAAAACCUAUAGCCAAUUUUCUGGGGAAGCCCAUUUCUUACUACUUUACAUCCCUCCCUCCUCGUCUUGAAAGAUUUGCUGCCCAGCAGGGCUGAUGAUAGGCGCUUCAGCAUCAAGUUGGACGUGAACUUCGAAGUGGAUACAGUAAGUCACAACGAGAAGUCUUUUUUCGUAAUUAAGCAUGACAUCUGCUUCAUUUGCUUCAACUUAUAAUUUAAUUUUUUUACUACUCUACUAGCGUAUCCUCUGCCAUGCAAGAGUUUUUGUCUUGGAUAAGAUAGGUUUCAUUUGUACUAUGGAGGUAAAGAAAGUUUACUUGAAGACCGAGCAUGGUUAUAUUUCCCAUGCAAAAUUGUACAACGCAGACGACUACACCUAUUUUGGAUGCAAAACUUGGCGAGCAGUAUGCAAGACUUAUGCAUUUGAGCCUGAUAUGGUUAUCACCUUUGAUAUCCGUCCGGAAGAUGAUAUUGAAGGUAAUACCGACAUCUGGGUCGAUGUUCAGACGCCUCCAGUUAUACCAUUAUGUGAGUUUCUCAACCAUAUUUAUGUCUUUGAUAUUGUUUAUUCAAAAAUAGUUGGCAACUAAUUUCUAUUGUUAGCUUAUUUCGGUUCAAGCAAACAUGUCCAACGCUUGAUAGACACGACCUACUACUAUCCCGGGGCUGAACUAAACUGCGAGGAGCUAAGUCAUUAUGUUUCAUGGCUUGAGGAUCUUGAUACUGUCAACACAAAUUUUCUUCCUGCAUUUAGAAAUGUUAGUACUGAAAACGUGCGACCAAUAGUGUUCGUAAUGAACUACGAUCACAUCUAUUUAGGAAAGAUGGUAACAUUUUUACUAUUUGUCCUCAGUGCAUCUUUUGCAUACAUUAUUUUUUAAGCUAAACUUCAUUGCUAAGUAUGUUACUAUACGAUGUUCUUCAACAGGGACUCCCGAUGAAUGUUGUGCCUCAUGGGAUCGAGACUAAUGGUACCAUGAGUAUUGUUAGCUUACGGCCAAGAUAUCCUACAAUGCACUUUAGUGCAUUCAGGAUUUCUAAGAGCGAGGAAGUCUUAAUAGUGAAAGACUGGACCAAAUUUGUGACGGAGGAGCGCAGAGAAGUACUAGGGGGCAGCAAUGAGAAGCGCAGCCCACGAUUAGGAGUCAGGUUCAUCUGCAUGCUCCAACUUGAUGAAGGAGGAGAGCUACACAUGUUUUAUGUUAUUUUACCUGAGAGAGAGCAGCAGGAGUGAUUAGCUAGCUAGAAAUGAGUUUGAAGAUGAUGAUGUGCUACACUAUGAGUAUGAUGAUUAAAUAGCUAGUGUUGGUGGUAAUGACUAUGAUGAUUAAAUAAAUACUGUUGGUGGUGAUUAGCUAGCUUGAAAUGAGUUUGAAGAUGAUGAUGUGCUACACUAUGAGUAUGAUGAUUAAAUAGCUAGUGUUGGUGGUAAUGACUAUGAUGAUUAAAUAAAUACUGUUGGUGGUGAUUAGCUAGCUAGAAUGAGUUUGAAGAUGAUGAUGUGCUACACUAUGACUAUGGUGAUUAAAUAAAUACUGUUGGUGGUAAUGACAAUGAUGAUGAUUAAAUAGAUUGUGCUGGUGGAUUAGAUUCAAGUGGAGGCAACAUGUGGUGCACAUCGAAAGUACUACUAGUCCAAACUAGAUCAAAUUUGGAUUAGUAGUAUACUUUUGACAUGCACCACAUAUUGCCUCCACUUGAACCUAAUCCACCUUCAUUUGAUACACUGUUAUGGACAUAAUGAUAUAAACCUCAUAAUUGGUAUUGUACCAAAAUUUGUAUAACGGCAUAUAAAUACACUAAAAAUGAAAAAAAAGUACUAGUAGCGAUGGAUACAAAACACGCUACAACUAGCUAGAUUAGCAGCAGCGCGGGACAGAACAAGCACUGCCGCUAUGUGUCUUAGCAGUAGCGCUUGUCGCACGCGCUACUGCUAAGUAAUAGCUAUAACGCCUUAUUGGUAGCGCGGCUGCCCGUGCUACUAGUGGGCUUUAAACCCGCGUUACUACUAGGGUUUUCCNNNNNNNNNNUAGUAGUGUAUUAUUGCUCUGUUGUACAGAGAGCAGUGAGUUUAUAUUAGCUAAAUGUUAGAUUGGAAUGCAGGAGUAGCAUGACAACACCAAGGUAGAGACCUGAAGAGAAGCAAGGGGAUGGACCAAGGAAACUAGAACUGUGUUGUCGUGAUGUGGGUCGUGUCGUCUUCGUCCAUCUCCAUGGAGGCAUAUAUACAUAGGUUAGGUAUAGGAAAGGAGACCGUCUCCAUGGAACUCUGACUGAUGUGUAAUGUCCACAUAGGACUGGACCGUUUACAGAGUGAGUACUUGAAAAUAGAUUCUUUAUAUAUUGUUUGGUUCCAUCAGCCGCAUAACCUAAAUUAGCAAUUAGGUAUCUAAACAGUGUAGUGUAACCAUUGUGCUUGCUGCAGUUUUACUUUAGUGUUGAAAUGUUUUUGUUGGCUUGUUCUGUACUACGAAAUAUUUUUGUUUUCCCAGCCAUUGUUUUCUAAAUCCUAUCAGCAUAUUACCUGAUAUGGCCUUUGAAGUUUCUGUUUUAUAACGAGCUUUGC